rnacentral:rRNA from 1 species
AGUAACGCGUGGGUGACGUACCUAUAGGUGGGGAAUAACUGCCCGAAAGGGUGGCUAAUACCGCAUACGUCCACUGGAGCGGUCCAGUGGGGAAAGCUUCGCAAGAGGCGCCGAUGGAGCGGCCCGCGUCCGAUUAGCUGGUUGGUGGGGUAACGGCCUACCAAGGCGGCGAUCGGUAGCUGGUCUCAGAGGAUGAUCAGCCAGACUGGGACUGAGACACGGCCCAG